GACGGGGGAUGCAGGUGUUAUCCGGAAUCACUGGGCGUAAAGCGUCUGCAGGUGGUUUCCUAAGUCCACUGUUAAACCUUGAGGCUCAACCUCAAAUCUGCAUUGGAAACUAGGAGACUUGAGUAUAGUAGGGGUAGAGGGAAUUUCCAGUGGAGCGGUGAAAUGCGCAGAUAUUGAAAAGAACACCGAUGGCGAAGGCACUCUACUGGGCUAUUACUGACACUCAGAGACGAAAGCUAGGGGAGCAAAUGGG
rnacentral:rRNA from 1 species